rnacentral:tRNA from 1 species
AGCCUUGUAGUCAAUAAUGAUUUUAAAUUGCAAAUUUAAAGGUGGAUAAGUCCUAAGGCUU